GAUGAACGCUGGCGGCGUGCUUAACACAUGCAAGUCGAGCGAAGCACUCUGAUUACUUCGGUUUGAAGAGUGACUGAGCGGCGGACGGGUGAGUAACGCGUGGGUAACCUGCCUCACACAGGGGGAUAACAGUUAGAAAUGACUGCUAAUACCGCAUAAGACCACAGCACCGCAUGGUGCAGGGGUAAAAACUCCGGUGGUGUGAGAUGGACCCGCGUCUGAUUAGCUAGUUGGUGAGGUAACGGCUCACCAAGGCGACGAUCAGUAGCCGACCUGAGAGGGUGACCGGCCACAUUGGGACUGAGACACGGCCCAAACUCCUACGGGAGGCAGCAGUGGGGAAUAUUGCACAAUGGGCGAAAGCCUGAUGCAGCGACGCCGCGUGAAGGAUGAAGUAUUUCGGUAUGUAAACUUCUAUCAGCAGGGAAGAAAAUGACGGUACCUGACUAAGAAGCCCCGGCUAACUACGUGCCAGCAGCCGCAGUAAUAC
rnacentral:rRNA from 1 species